GGAUGUGAGGGCGAUCCGGCUGCGACAUCUGUCACUCCAUCAGUCACCAAGGUUGGUUAGCUCAUCUGGCUGGCGUCCCCUUCCUCCCUCACCGUUCCACGUGCGUCCCUCCUGAAGCUGUGCGCUUGGCUGAAGAGGACGACCACCUCCAAUAGAGGAGAAGCGGUCUUCGGUCCAGGGUAUGAGUAGCUGCACCCCCUGCUAGAACCUCCAAACAAGCUCUCAAAUACACCUAUUUUCUGAAGUCCCUCAUCUUAUCACCCUCUUCUUUUAUUUUAUUAAGUAUAUUAAACAUGCAAUAUCAUGUAUU
ensembl:misc_RNA 7SK 7SK RNA